rnacentral:rRNA from 1 species
AAACCGUUCAGGGGUAAACCUGAGAAACCCAAAAGAUCGAAUGGGGAGAUUCAUCGUCAGCUGCUGUGGCUUCCAUGCGGUUCGCGAUGCCCGGUGCUUCGGCACCGCGGCACGUGUCCGCUGUGGUAUGUCCGUGGCGGUCGGCGUGCACUUCUCCCUUAGUAGGACGUCGCGACCCGUUGGGUGUCGGCCUACGGCCCGGGUGGUAGCCUGUCGCGUCGCAUUUACGUGCUUCGCGGUAGACCCCCGGUUGUCCGGCCGACUGCUCGGCGGUACUCGCACGGUAUCGGGCCGCACUUUGAUUGCGUCAGGCCCGCCGCAAGCGCGGCCAGCGAAUCCCGGAAUGCGGACCUAGCGCCGUUUUCGGGCCUGGCCAGCUGUUGGCUGGCGGUGUCCUUUGACUGGCUCUGUCGAAUCGAUACCGGUCGGCGACGCUACUGCUUUGGGUACUUUCAGGA